UUAAGUUCAGCGGGUAUCCCUACCUGAUCCGAGGUCAAACUUAGAGAAAGUGAGGGUUGAUGGCCAGCGUCCAUCGAGUCCCUGUAGCGAGGAGAUGUACUACGCUCAGGGCCCGACGGCACCGCCACUGAUUUUAAGGCCCGCUGGGUGAGCAGCGGAGCCCAAGACCAAGCAAUGCUUGAGGGUUGUAAUGACGCUCG
rnacentral:misc_RNA from 1 species